rnacentral:rRNA from 1 species
CGGACGGGUGAGUAACGCGUGGAAAACCUGCCGUAUACUGGGGGAGUAACACUUAGAAAUAGGUGCUAAUACCGCAUAAGCGCACAGCUUCGCAUGAAGCGGUGUGAAAAACUCUGGUGGUAUACGAUGGUUCCGCGCCUGAUUAGCUAGUUGGUGGGGUAAUGGCCUACCAAGGCAACGAUCAGUAGCCGGCCUGAGAGGGUGAACGGCCACAUUGGGACUGAGACACGGCCCAAACUCCUACGGAAGGCAGCAG